GGUAACGUAAAACAAAAUAAUUUGAAAAAUGUGAAUAAGCCUCUUCCUCGUAAAUCGUGCAAAUGUAGAAAACCCCUUGAUAACCCACAGAAAAUAAAGAAGAUAAAAGAACAGAGCCCUUCUUCUUCUUUUCUCUGUGAAAAUGCAAAUUUCUCACUCAUUGUGAAUCUGUGGAUUGGGGUUUGUAUCAUCAGGGCCAUGGCAUUGCUACUGCCUUUUCUCCCAAGGCCAAGUAGAGCAGCUUGCUUCAGAAGUUUUGAGGUAUUCAACUGCAAAACCAGGUUGAAUUUACUGGUCCUUUUGCUUGUCUGAAGCAUGUAAACCCUGAACUCGUAAGUACAUUGUACUUAGUUAGGGAAUGAAGCCAUCGGUCCGUAUAGCAUAUAAAUCUUUGUAAUUAUAUUGACAAAAUCCAUUGUGGGAUUUAUAAAGAAGAAAAUUUCUUUUGUAUAUUGAAGCUAUCCCAGUUUUCUUUUUCUGAAAUUUGUCCUAUUUAUUCAAAUUCUGUUGGGAAUCAAUGCUUAAUUAUAGCUUACCAGUG